UACCCGGUCUUGGCCGCCAAUCCAAGUUUGUAACCGUUUUCGGGCACGGUUUAUGGUUUCUAAAUCAUUAGAUAAUCACUUAUUCAGCACAAGGCUGAUUGAUAUUUUCAAAUAUCAAAAUAGACAUGUGACAGGUUGUUGACAAUCCGCACGUGACCACGAUCAAAGCUUGUCGCGGCAUGAAACGACUUUCAUCCAGAAUAAAUGGCUCGUUACUCCACAAAUAUGGAAACCCUGGACAUUGCCUUUGUAGUAGGAUGGAUAUAUUGGAUAGAAACAAGCUACGUUUGUCUAUUUGGAGUGGAUCACACUAAAUUACAUUCGACAAUUUGUUCAUAGUGAUUCGUCGAUUUGUCAAAUGUUGGGCUCAAUAAGUAUCUUAUGACAAAAACCAGGGAAAACGUUAACCUAAAAUUACAGUACAGCAAGGUCAGCGCCUUUGGAAAGGUGGUGAGAUAAAGCGUUUCAUUGGACAGGCACCGACAUCGUUUUACAAGACGGAAGCAAUUUUGCUGUUGGAAAUCCUUGGUGAGACUUAGCAGAAUAUUGACAAAACGCAGUAACUUUAAUAUCAAACAAGCACAGCAAAGGCGCAUCCGUUGUCAAACAAGUCUCAAGGAACAAACAAACAAAAGUCCCACAAAAUGACAGAUUAAAAACGUACCUCGUAACUCGGCGGUUCGGUGAUGUCUACGAUUGGGGUGAAGGUGUCAUCUGACAAAAGCAGUACGAUAACAUCAAAUUACACAUUUCAUACAGCCAUUUAGAUAUCAUAAUAACACCGUGUCUAACCAAUCAGCACAACAACGCUAUGUUCUUCCUUUUAGAAUUUGAAUAUAAAUAUUUUUUUGGUCCGACAAGAUUAUGAUAUUUGGGGUGUAGUCCAACAAUACGUAUCUAAAAAAUAAGUUGCAAAGUAUUGGGAUGCCUUGAACCCAGUAAAUUCGCGUGAAUCAAUAAUGCCAAUACUUUUUCGAUUCAAUUUUCCCUAUGAUUUUGCUGAGCAUUGAUUUGGUAAUCAGUAACCUAAAGCGGAAGUGGGGAUUGCACAGUAUUACAGCAUUACAGUAUACUACUUACCCGACUCACUAUCAGCCCCGUUCUGCCGCAGAAGCUCCUACAAAAAGAAGAAAGUAUUAGUACCUAAAAAAAGCGAAUUGGGCAAACAUCAAAGGGAACUCACAGCCUGUAGAUUCUUCCCAGCAGCCACUGCGAGCUCAAGCGCUGGGUGUAAGAAGGAAAAAGCAUUAGACGCCCUCGCCCAACCGGAUCGUCGCAUUCGUGCCAUAGGACUACUACACUGUACUAUUACACUGCACUACCAGAAGAUGCUUGGCAUAAACGCAAUCCUGUCCCAUAAAAUAGUUUGACCAUGCUAGAUGUAAACCUAGAAGUUCUCAAACAAAAGUUGAUAAAAAGUAUCGAACAUUCAAGAGAGAACUUCAAGACGGAUGUAAAUGUCUGCUUUAUUUAGAAAUAUUAAGAAUAGAAAGUUUCGCAUCCAGUUAGUUAAGAUGGCGCACCGGAUCGCACCGGAUCGAUGCUAAAUGCAUUCAAAAAUGAUGAUCGAAAUGAUAGACUGCCAAAUGAAAGACUGAAAAAUGAUAGACUACGAAAUGAUAUGGCUAGGAAAUUCUCAAAACCAUACAGUAAAAAUAUCGGUGCGUAGAUUUGGAAACUUUGUUUACGGGACAUUGUGCAUAUAAGGAAAGAAUUUAAAAAAAAACUUACGAGUUCGUUGGUCCUCGCUAUCUGUUGGCACGUACUUUACCUGAGAAAGAGGACAUUAAAUAAAUGGUUAGUAAAAGAAAAUAGACUUAGAUGAUGGUCAGUAGGAUGAAGGGGUAGGAAAGUGAAAGGAGAGAGUCGAUCAGGUUGAUGGAAGGGAAUACAGGAUUUAACAUACAUCGACUUAGCAAGAUGAAGGGGUAGGAAAGUGAGAAGAGAGAGGUGAGAAGGUUGGACAACAUAACAUACAUUGACUCUGUUGAUAAUCAGUUCAAAGGUCCUCAUGACGUCAUCUGUCUGAACAGACUCGCGUAAUGCCUGAGGAAUUAAUAUAAGCAGAGAGUUACAAGCAAUCACGCCACCAUUUUACGCUAAUAAUAACUUACUCAAAGAAUCCAUUUCCAUCUGCUGAUUCAAGCAAGUAACUGAGAUAUAUUAAAUGAAAUAUCGUUACGACUUCAACCGUGGAUGGUUAUUUAGAAGUUUUGCAAAUAAGCCGUUGUAUUUUCAAUUGUAAACAAUGACAGAGGAGUGGUUGAUCGACAUUUUUAAAUGCUUGAAAAAAGACAUUUCUAAUAAGGUUCGAUUCAGCCCUUGUUGCUUUUGAUGAUCACAAUAUACUAACUUUAGCACGACGUGAGCAUCAAGACGAUGAAAACUAUUAAAUGAUUAAAAAUUAUUCCUUGAGCACGAAUGGGCUUGGGCCUCGUGGUUUAAUGACUCGUGGAUCAGAAGGUUGAGAGGAACUGUUUCAGUGAAAUCACACUAGCUAGUAUGUCAAAUGGCAAAGUCAAAACCGUUCUCUGGUCUGGUCAUCUAGCAUUUUUUGUCUUUCAAAUCCCGCACUUUUUGCUACUGAUAGACUAGGCUACGAGAUCACCCGAUCAGAUAGAUAUUUCACUUCCCUGAUAUUUGCACGGGAACACAGUUCCAUUGAAGUGGAUAUGAAGAGGUCAACACUGUCUAGGCGACACCGAGAUGUGUAGAAGCCCGCUCGUGAGGCCUAACACGAUUGGCUGGAUUACCUCAUUCUUCUAUUGUAAUCCCGUACUAUUGUUUUGAUUUCCAAUGUUUUGUCUGUGCGUGGCGAAUCAAUCAAUGUGGUAAAAUCUUCUGAUAGCUUCUACAUGACCCGACUCACCUGCCCCAAGGCGUCCACAUUGCCGUACUCUGGUAGGAUCUUGCCGUAUUUCUUGUAUUCGUAUUUUGCGCAGAUGAACUCUCUUCUCUUUGCACUGAAAGGUAACACAAGCAUGCAAUCAGGAGAAACUCAACUAGAGUAAUUGCUUGGCAUUUUGUGCUCUAAGCCCAAAGAGCUACUAAGUCAAUUCCGAAUACUAAACAGCCACUCCCGAGUAUCGUCGAUUCGUUCAUUAUUGAAUGAUUUCCGAGAAAUACCGAGAGCUCCUGACGAAUACCUUUACCUUCGCAAAAGGAAAAGGGUGCAUGCAUGGAAUGUUUUCCUGUCAAACUGAGCUCUUAACACAAAAAACGAGUAAUUCCCGAGCCUGCCCCGAACAUUGCCGAGUACUUUCCGAGAGGGGCACGGGUGGAAUUGUUGUCAGUUGUUUACCUGUCCGCAUCCGGUCUUAUCCUGUCGUCAUCCGGGAUCUUGAACUCGAGAAGCUUGUUAGCAUUUUCAUUGCCGAUCUUGACCAUUAACUGGAGAGAUCAAAGAAAUCAACUUUAACCGUAAUAUGAGGAUAUCAAGUCAAACAAGUGAAUUCUUUGGGCCCAAGGAAUCAAGAUGCCUGUAAAAGUUUUUUUUUUGCCAAAAAAGUCAUAACUGGAAAAAAAACUAGUUUGCUUAUUAUUCCCUCGCAAAAGGGCGAACUAACAAGUUCAAAUGUGUGAAAGGUAUUCUAUAAUAAUAAUGAAUAACAUUUAUAUAGUGCUUAUACAUCGCUGUUCUAAGCGCUUCACAAUUCAAAAUAAUAUUUUUAAGAAGUCUAAAAAGUCUAAAAAUCUAAAUCUAAUCUAAAUCUGAAUCUACUGGCGUAUCGAUUUAUAAAUAAAUCAAUUACUAAAUUAAUAAAUUACAGGCUAAGUAGCAAAA